CCUGACACACCUUCGCCGCUUGACUGAUGAACGUCUUCUCCUUGUAAAGCUCUGUCUUUUGGGACCAUAAUGACGGAACCAAAGGAGGAAUCCACGGCUAACUACUUGCCGUCAACCGCGGGAAUACCCAGGGGGUAAGCGUUGGCCGGAAUUACUGGCUUUAAAGGAUGUGUAGGCGGAUAUUUAAAUAAAAUGUGAAAUCCCCCAGCUCAACUUGGGGGCUGCAUUUCAAACUGGGUAUCUAGAGGGAAUGACAGGAAAGCGGAAUUCCUACUGUAUCGGUGAAUUGCAUAGAGAUCCCGAAGAACAUCUCGGGGAAAGGCGGUUUUCUGGACUGUACCUGACGCUGAGGCUUGAAAGCGUGGGGAGCAAAACGGAUUAGAUACCCUGGUAGUCCACGCCGUAGACGAUGAGUACUAGGUGUAGGAGGUAUCGACUCCUUCUGUGCCGCAGUUAACACAAUAAGUACUCCGCCUGGCAAGUACGGUCGCAAGAUUAAAACUCAAAGGAUGUGACGG
rnacentral:rRNA from 1 species